CUCUCCUCUUCCUCCUCCUCCACCUCCUCCUCCUCCUGGUCUCCCUGCAGUCUUGGGUCCAGCUUACCCUGCUCCCGUCAUCCUGCAGGCGGCUCACCUGACCAGUCCGGUCAGCGCUCUGCCGUGUUUUCGGCUCCUUAAUGGCCAGUUCUUGGUCCCUUUUGGAUCCCAGAUGCCAGCCCGUCCUGCUGCAGCCACCCUGAACCCCUGCCGCUCAC